AAAUUCAACAAGAUCAUCAACAGGAUAUUAAGUUGCAGGGCACCUUUGAUUCCGCCUUCUCAGCCACUCCUGGGCUGGGUGACCCCUGACCCAUGAAGGACCACAUGUGUGGUGCGGGAGCCCCCUCUAUAAAACCCACCUAGAACAAAAGUUCUUUGUUAGUGCUUUAGAGAAGUGUAAUGUAAAAGAAGGGGAAAUUGUGAAAAUCUCAGCCAAUGUUGUAACUUUUAAAUACCAUAGCAGCUUUCCAAUAAACUGCAGUAUUAUUGCAAUAGACUUUGUAAUACAAUUUAUGCUGUCAUUCAUAAAUAACAAUGCCAUAUGUCAACCAUAUUGCUUACACAAGUAAAUCCAUCAACGUGUCA
rnacentral:lncRNA from 1 species